GACGAAGGGGGCUAGCGUUGUUCGGAAUUACUGGGCGUAAAGCGCGUGUAGGUGGUUGUCCAAGUUGGAUGUGAAAGCCUUGAGCUCAACUCAAGAAAUGCAUUCAGGACUGGGCGGCUAGAGGACCGGAGAGGAUAGUGGAAUUCCCAGUGUAGUGGUGAAAUGCGCAGAUAUCGGGAGGAACACCUAUGGCGAAGGCAGCUCGCUGGGACGUUACUGACGCUGAGACGCGAAAGCGUGGGGAGCAAACAGG
rnacentral:rRNA from 1 species